GUCAUCGUGAGAGACAAUGGACAAUAUGCUAUGAUAAUUGUAUGGCAUUGUCCUUGGUGUUUGGCGAUAGUAUUGCUGAC
ensembl:miRNA